UCCCAGCAAUGAAGUCCACAGCUUAGC
rnacentral:piRNA from 1 species